UAAAUUUAAUAGAAAGACGAGAAGACCCUAUAGAGUUUAAUAAAUUUAUAUUUUUAUAGUUUAGGAUUUUAUUAUAUAAAAAUAUAUAUUUAUUUUGUUGGGGUCAUACUAGAAUUUAAUAAACUUCUUUUUUUAAAUCAUUGAUUUAUGAAUAAAUGAUCCUAAUUUUUAGAUUAAAAGAAUAAAUUACCUUAGGGAUAACAGCGUAAUUUUUUUGGAGAGUUCAUAUCGAUAAAAGAGAUUGCGACCUCGAUGUUGGAUUAAAGUUAAAUCUUGGUGUAGAAGCUAAGAUUUUAAGUCUGUUCGAC
rnacentral:rRNA from 1 species